rnacentral:rRNA from 1 species
UACAGGGGGUGCAAGCGUUGUCCGGAAUCAUUGGGCGUAAAGCGCGCGUAGGUGGCCUCAUAAGUCCGCUGUGAAAGUCAAAGGCUCAACCUUUGAAAGCCGGUGGAUACUGUGAGGCUAGGAGUACGGAAGAGGCGAGUGGAAUUCCUGGUGUAGCGGUGGAAUGCGCAGAUAUCAGGAGGAACACCAAUAGCGAAGGCAGCUCGCUGGGACGUUACUGACACUGAGGCGCGAAAGCGUGGGGAGCGAACAGG